AGAGUUUGAUCCUGGCUCAGAUUGAACGCUGGCGGCAUGCCUUACACAUGCAAGUCGAACGGUAGAGUAGCAAUACUUGAGAGUGGCGAACGGGUGAGUAAUAUAUCGGAACGUGCCCAGUCGUGGGGGAUAACGUAGAGAAAUUUACGCUAAUACCGCAUACGAUCUAAGGAUGAAAGCGGGGGAUCGCAAGACCUCGCGCGAUUGGAGCGGCUGAUAUCAGAUUAGGUUGUUGGUGAGGUAAAAGCUCACCAAGCCGACGAUCUGUAGCUGGUUUGAGAGAACGACCAGCCACACUGGGACUGAGACACGGCCCAGACUCCUACGGGAGGCAGCAGUGGGGAAUUUUGGACAAUGGGCGAAAGCCUGAUCCAGCAAUGCCGCGUGCAGGAAGAAGGCCUUCGGGUUGUAAACU
rnacentral:rRNA from 1 species